GCAAGGUGUGUUGGUGCACACCUAUAGUCCCAGCUACCCAGGAAGCUGAGACAGGAAGAUUGCUUGAGCUGGGAGUUAGAGACCAGCAACAUAGCAAGACUCCAGCUCAA
rnacentral:sRNA from 1 species